rnacentral:misc_RNA from 1 species
UUGGAUUUUUAUCUAAUUUGAGGGGUGCUGCCUGUGAUUUUGUGUAGUUUUAGGAAUUCUGGGCAUGCAUUAUAAGAGUUUCCAAGCAAAUAUAUAUAUAUUUUGCUUUAAAAUGGGUUCUGUUUUCCGGAAAAGCUGCCUUAGAACAUUCAUUCAUCUUUCUUAUGAGCUUGCGUUUUCAUUUUCCCAAGUACUAAAUAGAGAAUUACUAUUAUCUUUUUCCGGGUUACAUUCUUUCCCUAAUUUUAUUCCUCUGUUUGGAAACUACUAGAAUUUUGUAAGAAUUCAAUUCCUUUUGUAAAUUCUCACGUUUGGAAUGAAAUUAAAAAAGAAAUAGAAACCAGAUUGUCCGAGAAUGAGUUCUCUUCUUGCAGGUGAUUUAUUCCAAAGGAAGCCAUUCAAAUAAGAACUUUGAGAAUUAAGGAUUCAGACUAAACAGUAUGUCGAAGGAUAUUCCGAUAUUGGAACCAUUAACUCCAAAACAUGCUGCCAUAAGAAGCAUAAUCACCCCACAUUAGCUAGACACUGCAUCUCACAACCACAACAGAGAUUAAAUGAGAUACUUUACCCAUUCGACCGCAAAGGUGACCUCGAUUGACUGCGACUAUUACCCCUUGGACUCCUUGACCUGGCAGAUGCAUAGUCUCCUUCAUCACGAGGGCUCCGAACAUUCUGCCUUGGGCUUGAAAACCUCUGGUUCAACCUAUAGUCCAUCUCAUCUCGUGGAGAACGAGAAUGUGAAAUUGACCUGGAUCUCCCUGGAGAGAGAUUAUAGUUCCUUGCACCAAGAUCCCUGCAUCAGUUUAGCAUAAAAGACAGAUGCAAAAGAGACAAAUAAAAAAUCUAAUCAACAAUAAACCUAGCUGAAUGUAACACAAAAACAAGAAGCAUCGUCUAUUCCACCAUAAACUGAAACCUUUCUCUAUUUGCGACAACCAUAAAAACAACAUUUUCAUCACAAACUCAUCAUUUGAUGACAGAUAAAUGGUGUAUUCAUAAAGAAUUUAAAUUUUCUAAUUACAUCUUCAGUAAGUUAAAAAAAUAAUACUUACAUCUUCAGCGAAAAUCUAAUUAAUCAAAAUAUGACCUUUACCUGCACCUUUUUCAUGGUUUCUGAACAAAAUUAUGAUACUUGAAUCCAAACACUUUUGAGAGUUGGGCUCUACAAGGUAUACUGGUUGAUCAGCAUCUGAUAACUUCAAAGCUCUCUUUGCCCCAACUUUAUAAAAUCUCAAAUUAUCAUUUUCUUGGGCAAUGCCAUCAUAUCUCUACCAGUAAAACUUUGAAUAGCUUUCCUUCUUUGAGGAUGAUUUCUUUCUUUGCCCAACUAUAAGCUUUAUAUUCUUUAACUGGAUAGUAUAUGCAAAACAAGAUAUCAAACUUAAAAAACUUCCUUACUAAAGAGUUAUUGAAGAGAAUAAAUAAAGUACCCCUGUGAUCCAAUUAUCUCUCAGACCAAGUUUAGCUAAUUAGCAAACCUCACAAACCAAAAGUCAAAGAAUAGGAAAGCCACCGCAAAAUGUAGAUGAUAGCUGGUGAAGGUGACAUUAUGGGUAACACUUAAGAAGAGUCUUUCAGUGAAAAAUAGUCAUGUGGUCCAUCACUUUAUAACUUUUGACUUUUGUCGUUAAUCUUUAUUAACCCAAAAGUCGUUAGUCUCCCAUUUCACUUUACUAUCUGCAUCAACAAAGCCACCAGCAGAUAACAUUCAUAUUCAUGGGAAGACAUACCAUACAUUCUGCGCCACACACAAAGUUCAAAUCAUCAAAGCAAAGCAGGUCAUCAAGGCAAAAACACCAGGUAUUACUUUAACCUUUUUAUUGCAGUGCAUUAGAGCUGUGGGAUUUUCUCAAUUUUUUGCACAAAUGAAAACCAACCACAACUCAGAGGUUGCAUUUCAUGUGAGUUACUAGAUAAUAUGGGAUAAGACCAGACCAAGACAGAUAGUGCCCUAUCUUGUGUUUGGUGCAAGAAGACAACAAAUUAACAAUAAAGCUAUAACAUUUAGAAGGAAUAACAUGGAAAGAUAGGAAAUGUCAAUAAUAAGCACUAACAGAAGUGCAAAGAAUGUAAAGACUCUUCUAGCAUAUAAAAUCAAACCUUGAGUCAUGCCUUGCUGGAGAAGGUGAAUGUGAGUAAGCUGCCAACCAAGAAACAACGUUUCACUAUUCAGCAAAAAUUUUAAAGAUAAAAGUUCUCGCUUCCAUAUUAUUGCAUGCAACUUUAGAUAAAAGUAGAAAAACAUAAAAAUUUGAAUAUCUUAUCAGAAACUUCAGUUAAAUGACAAAGUGAAAAUUUGAACUGACAAUGAUGCCGGCGUCUUGGAGACCUUGGUGGUGUUCUCCCUCUAUAGCUACCUCCAUAUCGACCACUGAAUAUAAACACAGAAAUAUUUAGCUAGAGAAUGGACAAGAGAGUUCAGCCAAUUGCUGAGGUAAAAGUUCAAUAGAGAAUGCAAGAGAGAAGUCAGGCAAUUGCCAAAGUAAAAGUUUAAUUAGAAUCAGAAAGAGGAUAGAAAAUAGAAACAUGGUGAAGAAUCAAGGAGGCAAAGAGAACAAUUGUAACACCUAAUACGGGCACUUGUACGCAUUUCUUGAGGAGUUUUCCUGUUCUCCUCAGCAAAAACAAUUCUUAUCUCACGUCCACCAAUAAUUUUAUGAUUCAUACGUUGCUUUGCUUCUGCUGCAUCUUCAGCAUAACGGUACUUCACAAAUCCAAAGCCCCGUGGCUCCCUACCAGUUCAGAUUACAACAACAAAAGAUUAUAACACAAAAAGUAUUAAAGGCAUUCAAAACCAGAUAGGAAAACACAAAGCAGGAGAGAUCACCAACAUAAAGAAUUUUUGCAUUGGCUAAAAGAAAAUGUUCAAUCCACUUAUAAAUGUUAGCCAGGGUUCAUAACAAAACUUGUGGCAUUAACAGAAUAUGAAAUCUAGCUUGCAGCUCACUUCUUAUAUAUCCAGUUUUAGGGGGCACAUAUAAGAAAUGCAUCACUAGAAACAACUAAAAAGAAAGAGUGAGUGCAAACAGAUUGGACCAAUAGCUGUCAAGAUAGAUCCAUAGCGUAAGCAAUUUGAAGGAGUGAAUCAGUGCAAGAUGAACCUUCAAAUUGUAAUUAUACAAUAGAAAUCAGUUUUUCAAAUGCAGCUUCAAAAGGUUCCCCAUCGAAACAUACAAUGAAGAUGCAUGAGUAUGUGAAAACACUUCAUAUAUUUUUCAAAUUUCACAUGGUAUACUUCCACUGCUCUUUGCAUUUGCACAGUCAAUAAAGUGAACACUUAAUGUGCCUACAAGAGGAUCAAGAAUUUUCGUCAAUUUUAAAACCUUUCAUUUUCAUCACAACCAUAUAAGGUGGAAAGAAUAUGAGAAACUCUUUCAUUAUAGCUGCAUGGACUUGGUGAAAGCAAAAGAAUUAAGCCUAUUUGGAGUUAAGAAAAUUAUGGCCAAAUGGAGCACACUAUUGGGGUGUGUAUUAAGCUGUAAUGUGGUGGGCUUUUUAAUGCAUGAAAGUUAGGCCUUUAUUCUUCUAAAUUCGUGGCUCCAUAAUAUCCUGUUAUUUCUUCACUUUUGGAAGGCCAUAUUAAGAAGAUUUUAGUAAUUUUUUAUGCCUUUUAUGUUUCUAUAUGGGUUAGAAGUCAAUUGGCAUCUUUGAACAACAAAUAUUCUCUAAAAUCUUCAAGGAUUGUAACUAGCAACAAUAUGGAUGAAUUUUGACUUGUUAACUUCAAAUACAAUCUUGGAAGAUUAUUACUAUCUUUGAAGACAAGGGCUAGUACUUUAUUAAUUAGGAAUCUUUAACUUUUCUUUCAUUAUUUCUAUUAGAAUUUAUUCCAGACUUGUAUUUCUUUUAGUUCCUAAUUAGUUUCUUUAUAAUUUUUUUCUUUAGUUUUUUUAUCUUUGAAUAUGUAAUAUUUUACACAAUUCAGAGAUUUCAGAAAAUUCAAACAAUAGACAAUUGAGAGAACUUAGCACCAAUGUUAUUAAGUCGAAAGUGUGUGUGUGUGUGUGUGU